UAGAGGAAGUAAAAGUCGUAACAAGGUUUCCGUAGGUGAACCUGCGGAAGGAUCAUUAAUGAAUUGAACUGGAGUUGUCGCUGGCUCUCUCUUCGGGAGCAUGUGCACGCUCUGCUUUCAUUUCCAUUUCACACCUGUGCACACAUUGUAAGGUCGGGUCUUGAAGAGGACCCUUCCCUACGUUUCAACCUCAUAAACCACACUAUAGAAUGUACAUCUGCGUAUAACGCAUCUUAAUACAACUUUCAGCAACGGAUCUCUUGGCUCUCGCAUCGAUGAAGAACGCAGCGAAAUGCGAUAAGUAAUGUGAAUUGCAGAAUUCAGUGAAUCAUCGAAUCUUUGAACGCAACUUGCGCCCCUUGGUAUUCCGAGGGGCAUGCCCGUUUGAGUGUCAUGGAAUUCUCAACUCAUACAUCCUUGUGAUGUUGUGAGCUUGGAUUUGGAGGUUUUGCUGGCCUGGUCAGCUCCUCUUGAAUGCAUUAGCUUUGAACCCCUUGUGGAUCAGCUUUCGGUGUGAUAAUUGUCUACGCCGUGAACUGUGAAGCAACUCGUGUUGGGCUCAGCUUCUAAUCGUUGAAAAACAUAUUUUGACCUCUGACCUCAAAUCGGGUAGGACUACCCGCUGAACUUAAGCAUAUCA
rnacentral:rRNA from 1 species